rnacentral:rRNA from 1 species
GAUGAACGCUGGCGGCGUGCCUAAUACAUGCAAGUCGAGCGAACAGACGAGGAGCUUGCUCCCCUGACGUUAGCGGCGGACGGGUGAGUAACACGUGGAUAACCUACCUAUACGACUGGGAUAACUUCGGGAAACCGGAGCUAAUACCGGAUAAUAUAUUGAACCGCAUUGUUCAAUAGUUAAAUACGGUUUUUCUGUCACUUAUAGCUGGAUCCGCCCCGCAUUAGCUAGUUGGCAAGGUAACGGCUUACCAAGGCAACGAUGCGUAACCGACCCGAGCGCGAGGUUCGCCACACUGGAACUGAGACACGUUAGAGACACCUACAGGGAGCAACAGUAGAGAAUCUUACGCGAUGGAGGAAAGCUUGACGGAGCAACGCCGCGUAAAGGCUGAAGGUCUUCUGAUCGUAGAGCGCUGAUGGUAGUGAAGAAGUAAUGUGUAAGUAACUAUGAACGUAUUGACAGUACCUAAUCAGAAAGCCACGGCUAACUACGUG